rnacentral:rRNA from 1 species
CCUACGUGAGGCAGCAGUGGGGAAUAUUGCACAAUGGGGGAAACCCUGAUGCAGCGACGCCGCGUGGGUGAAGGAGUAUUUCGGUAUGUAAAGUCCUAUCAGCAGGGAAGAUAAUGACGGUACCUGACUAAGAAGCCUCGGCCAACUACUGGCCAGCAGCCGCGGUAAUACGGCGGGGGCAAGCGUUAUACGGAUUUACUGGGUGUAGAGGGAUAGUAGACGGCAGCGCAAGCCUGGAGUGAAAGGCUGGGGCCCAACCCCAUGAAUGCUCUGGGAACUGUGCGGCUAGAGUGCCGGAGGGGGAAGCGGAAUUCCUAGUGUAGCGGUGAAAUGCGUAGAUAUUAGGAGGAACACCAGUGGCGAAGGCGGCUUACUGGACGGUAACUGACGUUGAGGCUCGAAAGCGUGGGGAGCAAACAGGAUUAGAUACCCCUGUAGUC